CCCUUAGAUGUUCUGGGCCGCACGCGCGCUACACUGUUCGACGCAGCGAGUCUUAACCUUGACCGAAAGGUUUGGGUAAUCUUCAGCAAAGUCGAACGUGAUGGGGAUCGAUCAUUGCAAUUAUUGAUCGUGAACGAGGAAUUCCUAGUAAGUGCAAGUCAUCAGCUUGCGCUGAUUACGUCCCUGCCCUUUGUACACACCGCCCGUCGCUACUACCGAUUGAAUGGUUUAGUGAGAUCUCUGGAUUGACGCUGGCUAGGGGGCGACCCUUGGCCAGACUGCUCGAGAAACUGCUCAAACUUGAUCAGUUAGAGGAAGUAAAAGUCGUAACA
rnacentral:rRNA from 1 species